rnacentral:rRNA from 1 species
GGAGUUUGGACCGUGUCUCAGUUCCAAUGUGGGGGACCUUCCUCUCAGAACCCCUACUGAUCGUGGGCUUGGUGGGCCGUUACCCCGCCAACAACCUAAUCAGACGCAUCCCCAUCCCUUAGCGAUAAAUCUUUGGUAUUCGUCAGAUGUCCUCAAAAUACAACAUAGAGUAUUAAUCCGACUUUCGCCGGGCUAUCCUCUACUAAGGGGAAGGUUGGAUACGCGUUACUCACCCGUGCGCCGGUCGCCAUCGGCCUUAGCAAGCUAAGACCAUGCUGCCCCUCGACUUGCAUGUGUUAAGCCUGUAGCUAGCGUUCAUC